AUUGAACGCUGGCGGCAUGCCUUACACAUGCAAGUCGAACGGUAACGCGGGGCAACCUGGCGACGAGUGGCGAACGGGUGAGUAAUGCAUCGGAACGUGCCUAGUAGUGGGGGAUAGCCCGGCGAAAGCCGGAUUAAUACCGCAUACGACCUAUGGGUGAAAGCGGGGGAUCGCAAGACCUCGCGCUAUUGGAGUGGCCGAUGUCAGAUUAGGUUGUUGGUGGGGUAAAGGCCUACCAAGCCUGCGAUCUGUAGCUGGUCUGAGAGGACGACCGGCAACACUGGGACUGAGAAACGGCCCGGACGCCUACGGGAGGCAGCAGUGGGGAAUUUUGGACAAUGGGCGCAAGCCUGAUCCAGCCAGGCCGCGUGCGGGAAGAAGGCCUUCGGGUUGUAAACCGCUUCUGUCAGGGAAGAAAUGUUCUGGGCUAGUACCCCGGGAAGAUGACGGUACCUGAAGAAUAAGCACCGGCUAACUACGUGCCAGCCGCCGCGGUAACAC
rnacentral:rRNA from 1 species